UACGGAGGGUGCGAGCGUUGUCCGGAAUCACUGGGCGUAAAGGGCGCGUAGGUGGCGCGAGGAGUCUGUGGUGAAAGCCCGAGGCUCAACUUCGGGUCGGCCGCGGAUACUCUCGUGCUGGAGGGUGGUAGAGGCCAAUGGAAUUCCGGGUGUAGCGGUGGAAUGCGUAGAGAUCCGGAAGAACACCGGUGGCGAAGGCGGCCGGCUGGGGGCGCCCUGACGCUGAGGCGCGAGAGCGUGGGGAGCAAACCGG
rnacentral:rRNA from 1 species